rnacentral:siRNA from 1 species
GCAUUCUGAUGCGUGGUAGGACU